AUCCCGUGUUUAUACUCGUGCUCUUGGCUCUUUAAGUACGGUCUCCCAACUGUAAUUCAGUGUGGACACGUUUUUAACUACCUCUCUGUACUUAAAGUUUUAUACAGCGCACGGAAGGGAAUUAGCAACAUUUUUCAGUCUGAAGAGUUGCCUGGUCAGCAUGGAGAAAGUGUGGCAGGUGUGCCAGAACGGCUCCCACCAGAAACGCUGUCAACACGAGGAGCCCCUUCCAUCUUGUAUCUUCACAAGGAUCACAUGAAAAUUGGAGCAAGUCUGUCUGGUGUUGAGCCAAUGCAAAUAGAUGGUUCAGUGCUCAAAUAUCAGUUUUACAAUUGAUGGGACUUGCAACUAGAACCUUGCAGCAUAUGUUGUCCUUGGGCUAAAAUAAAAUCUCUCUGCUUCUUAUACAGAUAAGUGAGUUCUGUGUUACAAAAGAAAACUAAUAUUAGAGAUUUAAUUCUUAGCUUUAUAUAUUCUUGGUCAGCAAAACUCAGUCAUGGCAUAUUGAAAUAGGACUUUAAAUUCUUUGCUUUCAGUAACUUUAAAAAGUAUUACAAACAAUAAAAAGAAAAUCUGUUUUGUUUCUUUAUUCAUUGAAAAUCUUUUUGAAGCAGCAGUGUAUUGGCUUUUCUAGCUGACAGAUGCAGAAAUGCAGAAUACCUUCCCAGCUUUAGAAUACUUCCACUCCUUAGUCACCCACAAAAGGAGGCCAAAUCCAGUAACUUUAAGCUUUUUAAGGGGGAAUUAAAUGCUUUACUCUCAAAUAUUGCCUUUUGUGAAAAAAAGAAUGAAUAUUUAUUGUAUCAUUUAAAAAUGAACUGGUGAUUCCUAAGUUAGCACAGUCGCAGAUUCUGC